rnacentral:misc_RNA from 1 species
GAUGAAGAACGUAGCGAAAUGCGAUAAGUAAUGUGAAUUGCAGAAUUCAGUGAAUCAUCGAAUCUUUGAACGCACAUUGCGCCCGCUAGUAUUCUGGCGGGCAUGCCUGUCCGAGCGUCAUUUCAACCCUCAAGCCCCCGGGCUUGGUGUUGGGGAUCGGCGAGCCUCCGCGCCCGCCGUCCCCUAAAUCUAGUGGCGGUCUCGCUGUAGCUUCCUCUGCGUAGUAGCACACCUCGCACUGGGAAACAGCGCGGCCACGCCGUUAAACCCCCAACUUCUGAACGUUUGACCUCGGAUCAGGUAGGAAUACCCGCUCAACUUAAGCAUAUCAAUAAGCGGAGGA